rnacentral:lncRNA from 1 species
CUGACUCUCUGUAUGAUGCAUGUUCACACAAUGAGGUGCUGACCUCAUGUAUGAAGCAUGUUCACACAGUGCAGUGCUGACUCUCUGUCUGAAGCAUGUUCACACGGUGCGGUGCUGACCCGACCCUAUGUAUGAAGCGUGUUCACACGGUGCAGUGCUGACCCGUCUGAAGCGUGUUCACAUAGUGCAGAGCUGACUCUCUAUAUGAAGCGUGUUCACCUGGUGCAGGACAGACUUUCUGCAUGAAGCAUGUUCACAUAGUGCGGGGCUGACUCUCUGUAUGAAGCGUGUUGACACGGUGUGGUGCUGACCCUCUGUAUGAAGCGUGUUCACACGGUGCAGUGCUGACCUGUAUGAAGCGUGUUCACCUGGUGCAGGACAGACUCUCUGCAUGAAGCAUGUUCACAUAGUGCGGGGCUGACUCUCUGUCUGAAGCAUGUUCACACGGUGCGGUGCUGACCCGACCCUAUGUAUGAAGCGUGUUCACAUAGUGCAGAGCUGACUCUCUAUAUGAAGCGUGUUCACACGGUGCAGUGCUGACUCUCUGUAUGACGCAUGUUCACACAAUGAGGUGCUGAUCUUCCGUAUGAAGCAUGUUCACAUGGUGCGGUGCUGACUCUCUGUAUGACGCAUGUUCACACAGUGAGGUGCUGACCUCAUGUAUGAAGCAUGUUCACACAGUGCAUGUGAAACCAGAACCAAUAGUUGAACCCAAGCAGAAGUCUUGACCAAGCACUUCCCUCCUGGGAAUGCACCAUGAUAUCACCACACCGAAGGCCAGGCUGGCAAAUAGGGACAUUUAAGUGACAUUUAAGCUCGUGGUGGCCCUAUGAGGAGUCAUUGCUGACUGAGAUGGGAUUUUAAGGUGUUGCCUGCCUGUGUGUUCUCAGACCCUCUCCUGAAGCCCCACCCCUUCCCCUGAUCCUCUCCUGGGACCCCCC